AAAAAAAAAAAAAGGCAAUUUUGUUCAAAAAUACAAGUUCAUGGAAAAUUUUGAACCUAUAAUAACUGCUUAUUUUCUAGUUAUAUGAACUAUGAGAAAAUUAUAUAAAAAAUGAUGAAUUGUGGUUGACACUGAAAAUUGCCAUCAAUGUCAAUUGCUGGUGACAGUCAAGAUGCAAUUGAAAAUUACCAAAAUGUAAUAGUUAUAAAAGAAAUGUAUGCUGUCAGAGCAUAACUCUGUAAGGAAAUAAAAGAGCAACUCCUCACAUCAAAUGGGAAACAAGAUUAUGCAAUAACAUCAUUCACAUAUACACAACACAUUCUUCACUAGUAAGAGGCUUCCACCAAAUGCACAAAACUGUUUUAUUUAUAACCUCCAAAGUCAAAUAAUUAAUGCUACUUACAAGGACAAAGAAUUCUAUUUUGUGAAAAAGAAAAGUUCAUUUACAGUUUCAUGUACAAAAACUAAUCCUGAAACCCAAAAUGCAGAGCCAACUUGAAAAUAUUUAAGCUUGAGAAAUAAUGGAUUUAGAUUGAUCAAGAUUUGAUCCUUUUAAUCAUAUUUUGAUCUCUAAAGAAAUUAGAUUAACAAAAAGGAAUAGUUCAAAG
rnacentral:misc_RNA from 1 species